UGACAGCAGAGCAAUCAGGUACCCUAG
rnacentral:piRNA from 1 species